UACGUAGGGGGCGAGCGUUGUCCGGAUUUAUUGGGCGUAAAGAGCGUGUAGGCGGCCAGGUAGGUCUGCUGUGAAAACUCGAGGCUCAACCUCGAGAUGUCAUCGGAAACCAUCUGGCUAGAGUCCGGAAGAGGAGAGUGGAAUUCCUGGUGUAGCGGUGAAAUGCGCAGAUAUCAGGAAGGACACCAAUGGCGAAAGCAGCUCUCUGGGACGGUACUGACGCUGAGACGCGAAAGCGUGGGGAGCGAACAGG
rnacentral:rRNA from 1 species